AGCCAAGACCCAUGCCUCCAUCUCAGACCAGAGCCUGCUCUGUGAUGAUGAUGAUGCUGGUGAAGGGCCUUCUUCUCUGAUAGAAGAGGAACCUGUCCCCAAACAGAUUGAAGAUGAGGAAGAAAUGCUUGAUGGAGAACUGACUGGCGAGUUAAAACAGGAGUUGGAUGACAAAAUUGCUACCUAUAAAACACAUCCAAAGCGUCCUCUGCUUGGGCUGGUUCUGACUCCCACACGAGAGCUGGCCGUCCAGGUCAAACAGCAUAUUGAUGCUGUGGCCAAGUUUACAGACACUUUGCUGAACAUUUCACCUUCAUGAUCCUAUAUUGAUUCUUGUGCUGAAUACUGGGCAAAGUCCUUCACUAGACAGAAAAAUAACAAUCAUCAGAGGAGCCUCAGAUUAACUAAUUGAAGGUAAUGGGGAGGGUUUCUUCAGGGAAGCAUAUCAUGGCUGCAGGUAACAUCCUUCCCAGCACUGUAGUGCACUAAUGCUCAUGUUUCCCUGUGCUUUGGACAUAGACAUGACUGAUUUCACAUCCAUCUGUCAGGAUUGGAAGGUAGGAAGUAGAAAGAAAUGAGCUUGGAGAAGUAGACAGUGCCCAGAUGACAAAUACUCAUUAAGUGCUGUAGGAGCUGGUCAGGCCAGGCCAGCUUUUUUUAACAAUGCCAUGGAGCAGGGGGUUGGGCUGGUGACUAUCUGCUAAUCUGGAGAUACUAUUUAA
rnacentral:lncRNA from 1 species